UGCAAGUCGAACGAAUGAAUCCUCUGCUUGCAGAGGAUGGAUUAGUGGCGAACGGGUGAGUAACACGUGGGUAACCUGCCCAUAAGAGGGGGAUAACAUUCGGAAACGGAUGCUAAUACCGCAUAGGUCUUUGAGACGCCUGUCUCUUAGAUGAAAGGUGGCUUCGGCUGCCGCUUAUGGAUGGACCCGCGGCGUAUUAGCUAGUUGGUGAGGUAAUGGCUCACCAAGGCUGUGAUACGUAGCCGACCUGAGAGGGUGAUCGGCCACACUGGGACUGAGACACGGCCCAGACUCCUACGGGAGGCAGCAGUAGGGAAUCUUCCACAAUGGGUGAAAACCUGAUGGAGCAAUACCGCGUGAGUGAAGAAGGUCUUCGGAUCGUAAAGCUCUGUUGUUAGAGAAGAACAAGUCGGGUAGUAACUGCCCCGACCUUGACGGUAUCUAACCAGAAAGUCACGGCUAACUACGUGCCAGCAGCCGCGGUAAUACGUAGGUGACAAGCGUUGUCCGGAUUUAUUGGGCGUAAAGCGAGCGCAGGCGGUCUUUUAAGUCUGAUGUGAAAGCCCACGGCUCAACCGUGGAGGGUCAUUGGAAACUGGAAGACUUGAAUGCAGAAGAGGAAAGUGGAAUUCCAUGUGUAGCGGUGAAAUGCGUAGAUAUAUGGAGGAACACCAGUGGCGAAGGCGACUUUCUGGUCUGUAAUUGACGCUGAGGCUCGAAAGCGUGGGGAGCGAACAGGAUUAGAUACCCUGGUAGUCCACGCCGUAAACGAUGAGUGCUAAGUGUUGGAGGGUUUCCGCCCUUCAGUGCUGGAGCUAACGCAUUAAGCACUCCGCCUGGGGAGUACGGCCGCAAGGCUGAAACUCAAAGGAAUUGACGGGG
rnacentral:rRNA from 1 species